CCCCCUUCAACUCCCCAAAGACCUGUCAACCAGCAGUCUACAAAAAGGGGAGCUCGCCUGCUGCUCGCCGCCUUCCGCCUUUCGCCUUCUGCAUUCACCUGUUCCUAUCAUGGCCCGGGGUCUUGCUCUGCUGUAUCCGUUCUCUCUCCACAUGUUACUCAUUUCUAUUAUAGAUUCCUCGCACUACUAGUACUACCUGUUCCCGAUAGAUCCUUCCAGAAUUAGGCUAUGGAGUUCCUUUCCUGAGGCAAUAUGACGGUGAUACCCACCCCACUUGCUCUGCAUGUCCUCACCUAAGCUCCACCAGUCGUAUUG